rnacentral:rRNA from 1 species
CGGCGGACGGGUGAGUAACGCGUGGGUAACCUACCCUGUACACACGGAUAACAUACCGAAAGGUAUGCUAAUACGGGAUAAUAUAUUUGAGAGGCAUCUCUUAAAUAUCAAAGGUGAGCCAGUACAGGAUGGACCCACGUCUGAUUAGCUAGUUGGUAAGGUAACGGCUUACCAAGGCGACGAUCAGUAGCCGACCUGAGAGGGUGAUCGGCCACAUUGGAACUGAGACACGGUCCAA